rnacentral:lncRNA from 1 species
UGAUUUCUGUCUUCACCAGCAGAGUCCUGUCAACAAGUAUUUUAAUUUGCUAAAGAUUGAAUUAACCAGUUGCAUGAUUGCAUGUGAGUGAAGCAAUAAAUUUGAAUUUUUUAGACUUCUCUUGCUCCUGAGAAACCAAGAGAAACCAUCUAAGAAAAGCAUCAGGUGUUCUAUGAAAAUUCAUAAAAUACAGCAAGAUAAAAGAGAAAUUUUAACAAUUCAAUGAAGAAAAUAGAGCAAAAGAGAUAAUGAGGGUGGAAAAGGUAGGAAGAAGUUGGAAGAAAUCACGUUAAUAUCCAAAAUGCCUACCAUAAAGUUUUAUGAAGGAGCUUCCUGUCUACCACCUGAAUGUUAGUCCCACUCCAGGGCCCGGAGCCUCUGCUUCUGCCCCCAAGAGGCUGCCUGAAGCAUCUUUCCACCAAGGCAGAUAGUAGUUACCAAUACUCCAGAAAGUGACAUCUUCUUUACAUUUUUUUCCAAUAAAAUAACGCAGUUACAGUUUGUGAAAAAUAAA